GAUGAACGCUGGCGGCGUGCCUAAUACAUGCAAGUCGAGCGAACAGACGAGGAGCUUGCUCCUCUGACGUUAGCGGCGGACGGGUGAGUAACACGUGGAUAACCUACCUAUAAGACUGGGAUAACUUCGGGAAACCGGAGCUAAUACCGGAUAAUAUAUUGAACCGCAUGGUUCAAUAGUUAAAGACGGUUUUGCUGUCACUUAUAGAUGGAUCCGCGCCGCAUUAGCUAGUUGGUAAGGUAACGGCUUACCAAGGCGACGAUGCGUAGCCGACCUGAGAGGGUGAUCGGCCACACGGGAACUGAGACACGGUCCAGACUCCUACGGGAGGCAGCAGUAGGGAAUCUUCCGCAAUGGGCGAAAGCCUGACGGAGCAACGCCGCGUGAGUGAUGAAGGUCUUCGGAUCGUAAAACUCUGUUAUUAGGGAAGAGCAAAUGUGUAAGUAACUAUGAACGUCUUGACGGUACCUAAUCAGAAAGCCACGGCUAACUACGUG
rnacentral:rRNA from 1 species